GAUGAACGCUGGCGGCGUGCCUAAUACAUGCAAGUCGAGCGAACGGACGAGAAGCUUGCUUCUCUGAUGUUAGCGGCGGACGGGUGAGUAACACGUGGAUAACCUACCUAUAAGACUGGGAUAACUUCGGGAAACCGGAGCUCAUACCGGAUAAUAUUUUGGACCGCAUGGUUCAAAAGUGAAAGACGGUCUUGCUGUCACUGAUAGAUGGAUCCGCGCUGCAUUAGCUAGUUGGUAAGGUAACGGCUUACCAAGGCGACGAUGCGUAGCCGACCUGAGAGGGUGACCGGCCACACUGGAACUGAGACACGGCCCAGACUCCUACGGGAGGCAGCAGUGGGGAAUCUUCCGCAAUGGGCGAAAGCCUGACGGAGCAACGCCGCGUGAGGGAUGAAGGUCUUCGGAUCGUAAAACUCUGUUAUUGGGGAAGAACAUAUGUGUAAGUAACUGGGCACAUCUUGACGGUACCUUAUCAGAAAGCCACGGCUAACUACGUG
rnacentral:rRNA from 1 species